rnacentral:lncRNA from 1 species
CUGAAAUGAAGGCAAGUAGGGCAGGGAGGGCUACAGGGCUGUGUUUUGCAGAAGAACCUGCAGAGGCCUGAGUUUCAGGUGAGGUCAGCAGGGAGUGGGCAGAGGCAGCAGGAGCUGAGGUUCCCUGCCUUCAGUUUGGAUCCUCUCCUCCCACCGCAUAGGCCAUGCUGCACCUUUGGGAAGACUGUCGCCAUGUGGAAGAAAUGCAUCUAAAUUCAGACAGACCUGGCUUCAGAGCCAGCCACAGCCCUCACAGUCCACGUGUCAUUGUGGACCCCAUUGUGCUGGGAUGACUGGUUGCCUCCUCUGUGGAAAGCCACAGCAAAAAUAUCAGAGGGGUCCUGGGAUAAACCAAAUGACUCACCUGAAAUAUGAUGCUGUAAACACACAGUCACAGAGUCGGUGUUAAGUCCCUCUGAAUAUCUCAAAAUGGGGACACUGUGUGAUGUCCCAGUAGUGAGAUAUCUUCUUCAACUGGCAACCCCCACUGUUCAUCUACAGAAAGCAGGAGCCUCUCUGCACUGUGGGGUUCCAUGUGCUGUAUUUCCUACUAGAGGAACUUCCAGUGUCCAUUCCUGUAGAGCACUAGGAUGUUGAUGAGGACUCCAACAGCCAUAGCCUGGUAUUCCCUGGGCCCCAUGUUGUGAGUUCCCAACACGUGCUGUAAACACUAAGCAGAGAUUGCAGGUCACAGCAACAUUAGUACCAUGCCCCACAGUGCUGCAGGCCAGAGUCCCAGUGGCCAAUACCAGGUAUAGAGGUGACAGGGGACAGUCUGGUCCUCUAUCUCCAGCUCUGGUGGCUGCACCCCAUGAAUUUGUCUCACCCUUUAUCACCCUUGACUUUCAUCCUUCCAUCUAUGUAAAGUGUCUCUUUACAUUUUUACCUGAUUUUUAUGAGGCCAUUGGGCCUGCAUUUUGGGCAUGCCUGGUAAACAUAGGGUAAUCUCUAAUAUUCAAAUAGCCAUAGUUUCCAUUUGCAAAGGCACUUUUCCCAUAUAAGGUGUUUAUAAAGACUUCACGGAGUAGGACCUAAUACCAUGGCAACCACACUCAAUCACAACCCACUCAAAACCAACACCGAUGUGCAUACAUAGCCUCCACCCCUCCCUCCCCCUGGAUUUCCCUACUCCACCCCUGCCCUCAGCAUGAAAGUCCCUUCCCUUCCUAGUGUAUCCACCCCUCUGUGCACACUCAGGCUCAAACAGGAGGACCUUGCUUGGGAUUGAC